rfam:Bacillus galactosidilyticus strain PL133 scaffold000095, whole genome shotgun sequence.
AUACAUCUAGAUCCAUACCCCUAAACUCCCUAGAUGUUUUGGACAGCGAAUGGCUGUCCUUUUUUG